UAUCCGCCAGAAAAUUACGAGUGAAAAACUUAAAACUCAAAGGACUUGGCGGUGCUCCACACCGACUUAGAGGAGCCUGUCCUAUAAUCGAUACCCCACGCUAAACCUCACCAAUCUUUGCCCAACAGCCUAUAUACCGCCGUCGCCAACUUACCUUGUGAAAGAAAAAUAGUGAAUACAAGAGUCGAAUCACUAAAACGUCAGGUCAAGGUGUAGCUUACAGAUUGGAAGAGAUGGGCUACAUUUUUUGGCAUAAAACAUACGGCAUGGAAUCAUGAAACUCUUACCUGAAGGAGGAUUUAAUAGUAAAACUAACAAGA
rnacentral:rRNA from 1 species